rnacentral:rRNA from 1 species
AGUGAACGCUGGCGGUAGGCCUAACACAUGCAAGUCGAACGGCAGCACAGUAAGAGCUUGCUCUUACGGGUGGCGAGUGGCGGACGUGUGAGGAAUACAUCGGAAUCUACUUUUUCGUGGGGGAUAACGUAGGGAAACUUACUCUAAUACCGCAUACGACCUACGGGUGAAAGCAGGGGAUCUUCGGACCUUGCGCGAUUGAAUGAGCCGAUGUCGGAUUAGCUAGUUGGCGGGGUAAAGGCCCACCAAGGCGACGAUCCGUAGCUGGUCUGAGAGGAUGAUCAGCCACACUGGAACUGAGACACGGUCCAGACUCCUACGGGAGGCAGCAGUGGGGAAUAUUGGACAAUGGGCGCAAGCCUGAUCCAGCCAGACCGCGUGGGUGAAGAAGGCCUUCGGGUUGUAAAGCCCUUUUGUUGGGAAAGAAAAGCAGCAGGUUAAUACCACGCUGUUCUGACGGUACCCAAAGAAUAAGCACCGGCUAACUUCGUG